CAGACGAACUUUGCCUUUGAUCUUUAGCAGUUCCUAAACUUGUGUUGUUGCAAUCAGCUGUUAUUCGUCCUGCGUCUUACUCAUUCUAUUGAUUUUUAGAGAAAAUUGUUUAUAAAAGCACACUUUGACAUAACUCUACUUUUUUUAAUAAGACUUAUGGGUGACCAAGACGUAAACGACCGGCCGUCAUACAACAAGAGCCAGCAAGUUAGAGCACGCACCCGCGGGGUCAAAUCCAACCCAACUACAAUUGACGAACAACGGGCAGAACUUGAGGAAUAUCGAUAUAAAUUAGAUAUGUUCGAGUCAAGGCUCCGAAAUUCGUCAUUUAUGGAUCCUGAGGACAGGCGAACUUUGCGGGAACAAGCCAAGGAGGCAAGAGAGCACUUGAGGAAACUGGAAUGGCAAGUUAACCGUAUUCAUCGGAAGUCUCAAAAGUCAUUUCUGAUAAUUUUUACUAUUUUUACUCUGUUUAUAACACUGUACAUAUUUCUUAUGGUCAAAACGAUUUGGAAGGACGAAAAGAACAGCGAGCGUAUUACGUAAUUACGAUUAAUAUACUUAGCUAGGAAUUAUCAAAAUGACAAUAAAAUCUAAAUCUGAAGCAAUUUAAUAAUUUCGUACAACUAUUUUUUAUGAUAAUGACACGUUAGAAUUAUACUGUUACAAACUUUUUAUGUUUAGCCCUUAACAACAACCAUAUUAUGACCGCAUUUAGAUAAAUUAAAAAAGCGCAAGACAUUCACAAGGUUUCCUGGAAAAGAAUCGUUACUUACUAUAGAUCGCUCGACUUGAUAUGGUCAGUAUUAUGAUUUAAUAACCCAAUAAUUUGCAAUGCUUUUUAGUGCAACACGUGGUAUAAGCAAUUGGGCGUAGUCGAGAGCGUAUCGGAUUCGAGUUUAAGUAGCGUUCUCACUGAUUCUAUCGAUAAGACGUAACUAGCUGACAUUUGCUGGGAAAUAAUGCGUCAAUUAUUCCUUCUUUAGAGUGAGGGCCUUCACUCCAUAAUUGCUGAGGCUCUGAAUUUUUUUUUAUAUGCCUCAUACUCACUAAAUUUCUGUCGAAGGAAACGAUUCAUUAUGAUUGUUGUAACUUCUGUUUACGGCCAGCCAUAGGUUUUAAAAACAAACAUCUCCGCACGUGUAAUAUUGCAAAACAGGCCGGAUACGUGAAAACAAGCAUACAUGAAGCCUUUACUUGUAAACUGAAUGUACAUCAUUGAAGAACGGAGACGUCUGUCUCCGAGAGCCGAAGAGAAAUUUCCGCUGUUUAACCGUCU